AUUGAACGCUGGCGGCAGGCCUAACACAUGAAAGUAGAACGAGUGGCGGACGGGUGAGUAAUGUCUGGGAAACUGCCUGAUGGAGGGGGAUAAAUAAUGGAAACGGUAGCUAAUACCGCAUACCAUCAGAUGUGCCCAGAUGGGAUUAGCUAGUAGGUGGGGUAAUGGCUCACCUAGGCGACGAUCCCUAGCUGGUCUGAGAGGAUGACCCGCCACACUGGAACUGAGACACGGUCCAGACUCCUCCUGGUGGCAGCCGUUGGUAAUAUUGCACAAUUGGCGCAAGCCUGAUGCAUCCAUGCCGCGUGUGUGAAGAAGGCCUUCGGGUUUUAAAGCACUUUCAGCGAGGAGGCGUUACUCGCAGAAGAAGCACCGGCUAACUCCGUGCCAGCAGCCGCGGUAAUAC
rnacentral:rRNA from 1 species